rnacentral:misc_RNA from 1 species
GACACACUGGUUCACCUUG